rnacentral:lncRNA from 1 species
AUGACCAAAAUACACAAAACGCACCCACUAAUAAAAAUUAUUAACCAUUCAGUCAUUGAUUUCCCCACACCGUCCAACAUUUCCACAUGAUGAAACUUCGGCUCACUUCUUGGUGCCUGCCUAAUUGUCCAGAUUAUCACGGGAUUAUUUCUAGCCAUACACUAUACAUCAGAUACCUCAACUGCUUUCUCUUCAGUUGCCCACAUCAGCCCAGAUGUAAAUUAUGGCCGAAUAAUCUGCAUUUUCAUGCUAACAGCACCUCAAUAUUCUUCAUCUGCCUCUUCCUACACAUUGGCCGAGGCUUAUACUACGGGUCAUUUAUAUUUCUAGAAACCUGAAAUAUUGGUAUUAUCCUCCUACUUACCACCAUAGCAACAGCAUUUCUAAGCUACGUACUUCCAUGCGGCCAAAUAUUAUUCUGAGGUGCUACAGUAAUUACAAACCUAAUAUCAGCCAUUUCAUAUAUUGGAACUCCUUCUACAAUGAAUCUGAGGUGGAUUCUCAGUUGACAAAGCCACCGUUACACGAUUUUUCACCUUCCAUUUCAUCUUACCUUUCAUCAUUACAGCUCCAGCAACUGUUUACCAUUUAUUCUUACAUGAAACAGGAUCUAACAACCCUUCAGGAGUCUCAUCAGACCCAGACAAAAUCACUUUCCACCCCUACUGCACGAUCAAAGAUAUUCUAGGUUUAAUUUUUCUCCUCCUCCUCCUAAUAAUUCUAACACUAUUUUCACCUGACCUUCUAAGCGACCCAGAUAAUUACACUUUGGCCAGCCCACUAAAUAUCCCCCCCCACAUUAAGCCAGAGUGAUAUUUUUUGUUUGCAUAUGCAAUUCUACGAUCCAUCCCUAACAAACCAGGAGGUGUACUAGCUCUUAUAUCCUCCUUUCUCAUUCCAGCAAUUAUCCCAUACUUCAUACAUCUAAACAAUAAAGCAUAAUAUUCUGUCCAUUAAGUCAAUGCCUAUUCUGAAUCUUAAUAGCUGACCUGCUCACACUUACAUGAAUCAGAGGACAGCCCAUCCACUACCAGUUCAUUAUUAUUGGACAAACAGCAUCCAUUGUGUAUUUCUCCACUCUCCUCACCCUUAUGUCACUCACUGCCCUGAAGGAAAAUAAGCUAUUUAAA